rnacentral:rRNA from 1 species
ACUGUGCUAAGGUAGCAAAAUCAUUUGUUGUUUAAUUGAUUACUAGAAUGAAAGGCUAAAUAAGGGGUUAACUAUUUAUUAUUAAUAAGUUUUUAGAAAAAUUACUUUUUAGGUGAAAACCCCUAUUUAAAUUAAAAAGACGACAAGACCCUAGAACCUUGAUAAGAUUUUACUGGGAAGGUAAAAAUUUAACCAAUAAACUUAUUAACUAUUUGUUUGAUUUAAUUUAACCUCCUAUUUUUAAGAAUAAAAAAGGUACUCUAGGGAUAACAGCGUAAUUUCUUUUGAGAGUCCUUAUUGAUAAAGAAGAUUGCGACCUCGAUGUUGAAUUAUAGAUCCUAUUUUGAAGAAGAGUUCAACUCAGGGGUCUGUUCGACCUUUAAUCCUAUACGUGAUCUGAGUUCA